GCCGGAGUGGUGAAAUUGGUAGACGCGCUGGACUCAAAAUCCAGUGGAACUUUGUUCCGUGCGAGUUCGAUUCUCGCCUCCGGCACCA
rnacentral:tRNA from 1 species